rnacentral:rRNA from 1 species
CCUACGGGGGGCAGCAGUGGGGGAUAUUGCACAAUGGAGGAAACUCUGAUGCAGCGACGCCGCGUGAGGGAAGACGGUUUUCGGAUUGUAAACCUCUGUCUUCGGGGAAGAAAAUGACGGUACCCAAAGAGGAAGCCCCGGCUAACUACGUGCCAGCAGCCGCGGUAAUACGUAGGGAGCGAGCGUUGUCCGGAAUUACUGGGGGUAAAGGGAGCGUAGGCGGGCGAGAAAGUUGAAUGUUAAAUCUACUGGCUAAACCGGUAGCUGAGUUCGAAACUUCUUGGCGUGAGUGAAGGAGAGGCAAGCGGAAUUCCUAGGGUAGCGGUGAAAUGCGUAGAUAUUAGGAGGAACACCAGUGGCGAAGGCGGCCUACUGGACUUUAACUGACGCUGAGGCUCGAAAGCGUGGGGAGCAAACAGGAUUAGAUACCCCGGUAGUC